CGGUUUCUGCGGGAUUCGACGCUCCAACUGUUUCCCAGGGCCAACAUUGUUCCUCUUGGGAGCUGUCCCUACCGGGGCUCCGGCCUUGGCAUAUGGCGCCCACCUGCACAUGCAGGCCUAGAGGGAACAACGGAUGCGACGGUCCACGCGGGGCCGCC
rnacentral:other from 1 species